rnacentral:lncRNA from 1 species
CAGUAUAUGCAUUACUAUUGAUCAAUCAGUGCAUUGAUUAAGGAACUUUGUUUAAGUGGUGCAUCUUGUGUUUGCCAUUCUAAUCAUAUGGAAUGCUUGAUGAUAGAUUUUUUCCAAAACGUCCACAUGUAGCCUCCGUUAGCCGUUGCAUUCUCUCUAUGUUAUGUUACACUGAAACAUGCACGGAACUCUUAAGUUCAUUGUGUGACAAUAAUUUUGCAAAUAAUUAAUAAAUAUGGGAUCGUAUAUAUGUUAAAUAGAACACUAAAAAUUAUAAAGGAGAGGCAGAUAUGCAUACUUGUUUGAGUCAUAGUUGAUGCGAGGCUGUUAUUGACCAUGUAACUGUUUGGCCUUCCUCUCUAUGACCUAAAAUCUCAAUAGCGGCUCUCAAUGGGACAAGCAACUCAGUCUAGAUUAGAGAGGAAAUCUAGCAUGCAUAUAAAUAGAUAUCUUUGUGGAUCCUUCCAUCAUGGACUUCAAUAAGAUCCAAGCUGACACUUAACCACCCAACUAGACUUUUAUAGAAAAGAUACUACGGCCCAUCCCAC